rnacentral:tRNA from 1 species
GCCUGAGUGGCUCAGUUGGUUGGGCGUCUGACUUCGGCUCAGGUCAUGAUCUCAUGAUUUGUGGGUUCGAGCCCUGCGUCAGGCU